UAACCUUAAAUUAGGUAGGAAUACCUACUAAACUUAAGUAUAUUAAUAAGUAAAGGAAAAGAAACUAAUAGGGAUUACCCUAGUAAUAGUAAGUAAAGUAAUAAUAGCUUAAAUUUAAAAUCUAGCCCCCUAGGGCCUAAGUUAUAAUUUAUAGAGAAUGCUUUUAGUAAGGCACCUUCUAAGUUCCCUAGAAUAAGAUACUAUAAAGGGUAAGAGCCUUAUCUAGUUAGAUACUAAGCCUUUAUAAAGCUUCUUUAAUAAGUUAAGUAGUUUAGGAAUACUACUCUAAAUAGGAGGUAUAUAUCUUCUAAAGCUAAAUAUUAGCUAGAGACUAAUAGUAUAUAAGUAAAGUAAUUAAAAAAUAAAAAGCACUUUAAAAAAAGGGUUAAAUAAUAUAUAAAAUUAUUAAAAGGGAAGCGCUUAUAACUAGACUUAGGCCUAGUAAAUUAUCUAGUAUUCUUACUAGUGCACUUUACUAGGCCUAGGCUAGUAUUAGUUUACCCUAGAGGAUAAAGGCUUUAGGAAUAUAGCUUCUCUAGGAGUGUUAUAGCUCUUUACGUAAUACCCUAGGGUAGACUAAGGUUUAUAUAUCUAUAAGAAUACUAGCGUAAUAGUUAUUAGUAACCUAUCUUAAAAUAUAGACUAAGGAGUUAUCCUUAUAUAUAAGUAUUUAGGUAUAAAACCCCUAUAUAUAAUAAAAGUAAAUAUAAGUAAGAGCUUUAGCGUAUUAUUAACUAAUCCUAAUAUUCUUAGAUAGAUUUAAGUAAGAGUAUAUAAGGCUAGACCUAAAAGAAAGUAAACUAUACCUAUAUAGGGUAAAGCUAGAGAAAACUCUAGUAAAGGCUUAUAGCGGUUCUAAUAUAUAAAUUAAUUAUUAAAUAUAGGUAUAGGGGUAAAAGACUAAUUAAACCUUCUAGUAGCUAGUUUCCGCUAAAGUUUUCCUUAGGAUAGUAGUGUUAAUCUUAGUUUUAUAAGGUAAAGCAAAUAAUUAGGGACUUAAGGGCUAUAUACUACCUUUAUCUAUUCUUAAACUUUAAAUAUAUAAGAAGCCCUUAUUAUUUAAUUAAAUAUAAGCAUUUAAAUAUAUUAACACUAGUAGGCUAUUUUUAGUAAGUAAAACUAGUAAUGUAGGAUAAACUAAACGCAAGGUUAAGGUGCUAGAGUAAACGCUUAUUAGAUACUAUAAAAGGUAUUAGUAUAUCUUAAUAGUAGGAUAGUAGCUAUAGAAGUUAGAAUUCGCUAAGGACUAUAUAAUAACUUACCUGCUAAAUAUACUAGCCUUAAAAAUAAAUAGUACUUAAGUAUUUUACCUAUACCUUACCCUUAGGGUAAAAAUAAAGCCCUAAGGAGUAGGUAAAUAUAGGGAUUAGUAAUAAAGCCUAGGGCAUAAGCCUAGGUUAAAUAGCCUUUAGUGUAAAUCUUAGUAGUAGUAGUAAAUACUUUAAUAAGAACUUAAAGGACUAAAGUAAGGAAAGGUUUUAUAUAAAUAGUAGUUAAAUAUAGGUUAGUUAAUCCUAAGCUAUAGGGAAGUUUUGUUUUAAAGGUAUACUUAUAUGCUAUCUAGUAAAAGGGAAGCUAGUUAAUAUUCUAGUACCUAGAUAUAGGUUUUAUGUAGUAAUAUAACUAAACGUGGAGAUAAUAGUAAGGGCCUUAAGUAAAGUUCUCUUUUUUUCUUAAUAGUCUCUUACUCUAAAAUUAGUUUAUCUAGAGAUAGAGUUUAAUAGCUAGAAAAGCCUAGCACUUUUGCUAGGUUUAGUGUGCUCCUAAUAUCCCUUAAAAAUCUAUAGGAAGGAAUAAUUCUUAUGCUAAGUUAUACUUAUAACUAUAGUAAGUCUCUAAGGUAAAUAGCCUCUAGUUAAUAGAAUAAUAUAGAUAAGGGAAGUUAGUAAAAUAAAUCUAUAACUUUAGGAAAAGAAUUAGCUCUAAGGGUUAGGUAUAUUAGGCCUUAGGAGGAUGCCCUAGGAGUAGGCAGCUACUAGCUAGGUAACUAGCUAGUAGUAGCUAGUAUUUAGGUACUAAUGCCCUUAGUAGGCCUUAGCUAUCUGGCGUAUAAUUAAUAACUAACUUAGAACUAGUAUAAAUAAGGGGAAUCUAACUGUCUAAUUAAAAUAUAGUAUUAUAAUAGCUAGAAAGUGGUGUUAAUAUAAUGUAAUUUCUGCCUAGUACUCUAAAUAUUAAAGUGAAGUAAUUUAACUAAGCAUAGGUAAAUAGUAGGAGUAACUAUAACUCUCUUAAGGUAGCUAAAUGCCUUAUUAUCUAAUUAGUAAUACAUAUAAAUAGAUUAAUAAGAUUCCUACUAUCCUUAUUUACUAUUUAGUAAAACUAUAGCUAAGGGAAUAGGCUUAGUAGAAUUAGCGGGGAAAGAAAACCUUAUUAAGCUUAACUCUAGUUUAAUAUUAUAAAAAGAUAUAGGAGGUGUAGAAUAGGUAGGAGCUUUAGUGCUAGUAAAAUACUACUACUCCUAUUAUUUUUUUACUUAUUUAAUAAAGUAAGGCUAGAUUUUUAUCUAACUUCUAGUUUUAAAGUCCUUUAUAGGCUAACCUAGGUUAAAGAUAUUAUUAGGUAGGGAGUUUAGCUAGGGUAGUAUAUUUAUUAAACUAUAAUAUAGGUGUCCUAAGGGGGGCUUAUAGAGAAUAGAAAUCUCUAGUAAAAUAAAAGGGUAAAAGUCCCCUUAAUUUUGAUUUUUAGUGUAAAUAUAAACCAUAAAAGUGUAGCCUAUUAAUCCUUUAGUCCCUUAAUAUUUAAGGCUAGAGGUGCUAGAAAAGUUACUAUAGGGAUAACUAGCUUAUAGUAGCUAAGCGUUUAUAGUAACAUUGCUUUUUAAUCCUUUAAUAUUAGCUUUUCCUAUUAUACUAAAGUAGAAUUUAGUAAGCAUUAGAUUAUUUACUUACUAGAGUUUAGUUAGUAGGGAUAGUUAGGUCUUAGAUUAGUUCUAAGAUUACGCUAGCUAGUUAAUAUAGCGUAGAACUAUAGGGGCUAUGUGGUAAUAUAACUUAGAUUAGGGGAGGCUAAGGCCUAGUAGCUAUACUAAUCCUAAGGGAAGUCUUACUUAAGUAAUCUUUUAGGACCCUUAUAGAGCAUAGUAAGGUAUAGGUAGUUUUCUUAGGAGACUACUUAAGGGAUAUGCUAGACUUAUAGGAAACUAUGCUAAAUAUAAAAGACCUAUAAUCUAGAUUAUUUAGAGGGUAAUUAAGUGUAGGAGGAAAUACCUGCUAUAAGCCUAGUAAAAUUAUAUAGUUAGGGGAUAAGUUAUUCUAUGUGGUUAUUUAAAUAGGGAAUAUAAGCUAGGUUUAGACUAUUAUAAGAUAGGUUAGUUUUACCUUACUAAUAACCUUACUAUAAUAGUAAUUUAGCUUAGUAUAAGAGGAACUACUAAUUUAGAUAAUUAGUUUUUAUAGCUAUUUAACUAGGUAGUGCUAUAAAGCUACUAUCUACUAGAUAAUAGCUAAAUGCCUCUAAGUUAGAAUCUAUACUAGAAUAUAGUAAUACUACCCGCAUAUAUAGAUAGAUAAGAAUAGGCUCUAGCUUAGUAUCUUAGUAGGUAAUCUCUUUAUAGCGUAGGAAGCACGCUGUGGUAUUUUAUGUAUUAUAAUUUUAAUAUAAGUAGGGUUAAAUCCUUUAUAAAUAACUUAGCUAUGUAAAAUAGUCCUAUAAGUAGUAGAGUAGCCUUAUUAUUAUAAUCUACUAAGGGUAAGCUAUCCUUUGCCUUAAUUUCC
rfam:Epichloe typhina E5819 contig00966, whole genome shotgun sequence.